GUGUUCUACGAGACGGUUGUUAAAUGGAGUAAUCGGUAAUGACAUAUUGCUUGGUGGCAGAACGGUGCUAUAUUUGGAGCUGCCUGGCUGGUGAUUUCCACAAUCGCACAACAAACUAUCAUGCAAGUCAGAGGCCUGAUUGGAAAUCUAUUAGAAAUACUGUAACUUGCUACUUCAAGAGACACCAUAGAAGCAUGAACAUGGAGCCCAGUUUGCAGCAAACCAUUGUGAUGGGGAUGUAUGUUGGGGUGCACCUAAUGGCGCAGUACUUGGAGAGCUGACACAUGUCACUCCUCCAGGAAGAGGUUGAGGAUGAAGCUCAGUGUGGCAUGGAGGCACAGCUGCCAAUCAAUCCUCUGGAGACAGUGCAACGCCAGUUCUGGCACCAUGAGACAAUCUCAGACAGGUUGCCAUGUGAGAUAUCAUUCUCCGAAUCACAAGGAGUGAUUGGCAGCAGAUGCUGACUGAAUAUGAUCAUAAACCUGGGCCUUAUAUUGCACUGCUUUAUUGUUCAAUGACGACAGUUCAAUGGAGCCACUUACCUGUGGCUUGUCACGAGAAGAUGUUCUACCAUGGAGGACAGAAUAAGGCUGGACUGACCAGAAACCUUGUGAGAAGGAUUAAAGAAUUCCUAUGUGAGA